rnacentral:rRNA from 1 species
CCUACGGGGGGCAGCAGUGGGGAAUAUUGCACAAUGGGGGGAACCCUGAUGCAGCAACACCGCGUGGGUGAAGAAGUACUCCGGUAUGUAAAGCCCUGUCAGCAGGGAAGAAAAUGACGGUACCUGACCAAGAAGCCCCGGCUAACUACGUGCCAGCAGCCGCGGUCAUACGUAGGAUCCGAGCAUUAUCCGGAGUGACUGGGUGUAAAGAGUUGCGUAGGUGGCAUAGUAAGUAGCUAGUGAAAUCUGGUGGCUCAACCAUUCAGACUAUUAGCUAAACUGCUAAGCUCGAGACCGUUAGGGGUAACUGGAAUUUCUAGUGUAGGAGUGAAAUCCGUAGAUAUUAGAAGGAACACCGAUAGCGUAGGCAGGUUACUGGGACGGUUCUGACACUAAGGCACGAAAGCGUAGGGAGCAAACGGGAUUAGAUACCCGGGUAGUC